AUUUGGACGCCCACCGCAAGGAACAAAAGUAUCGGCUUUGUAACGAAGAUGAGCGGUGUUACGGAAUAUGGUUCCAUUUCGGACAAUUUCACCGUUCGGAAGCUUUAGAUUAGUGUCUUUAACAAGAACUCUAUACCCUUCGGGGCUAAGUUUGCCAGCAUCAAAAUGAUCAAUCGUCUUACGCUCAUCGGCUAAACGAAGUAAUUCAGUUCGAUCAAGACCAGCGGGAUCGUAGAGGACACCACUGCCAUCUAUAACUGCAAUAUACUUUUCGUUAGAAAGUUUGAUCUCAUUGGAACCAAGAUCACCGUCUGGACCACCCGUUUGAA